CAUGUAGGUGGCUUUUUAAGUUGACUGUGAAAUUUCUGGGCUUAACCUGGGAGCUGCAGUCAAGACUGGAAGGCUAGAGUCUGGGAGAGGGAAGUGGAAUUUCCGGUGUAGCGGUGAAAUGCGUAGAUAUCGGAAAGAACAUCAAUGGCGAAGGCAGCUUCCUGGCCUGAGACUGACACUGAGGUGCGAAAGCGUGGGGAGCAAACA
rnacentral:rRNA from 1 species